AAUGAUUGGUGGAACCGUUUGAUUUCCUCUUUCGAUUGGUGUAUUAUCAAUGACGUGUCAAUUUUGUGGCCACAUUUCGAAGAUUCUCUUUUUCACCGGGACAAAUGUCUAUCACCAUCGUACACUAUUUAGCAUUUGAGUUCACUCUCUACAUUCUAUUCAUAAACUCAGGCAAAAUCUACUUUAUUGUACACAAUGGUGCUCCUUUAGUGUUCUGUGGUCUGAGACUUUAUCACGAACAUUAUCCGGGGAGUUGCCUUUCGCCGAGCUGUGCUCCAGUCAAAUCUUAGAAAGAACUGUAUCCUGCGCAAGAAUUUCACUACUGGCACCUGAGUUUUGUGAAAUUUAUGCGGCAUCGCUGUAUUUACUUAUCAAUUUAUCUAUUCCUUGAUUAUUCAUAAAGAGAAAAUAUCAGAUUUUUAAAUGCAUUUUUGGUAAUUCGGAGAGUUUCCUAUUUCUUAAUAGCAUAAUUACCAUAUUAAAAAUCUCAGAAGACCUAUUUGUAUAUUUAUACGUAAGAAAUUAAAUGUAAGAAAUUGUAUACUUAUAUAUAUGUAUGUAUAUAUUUAUGAAAAAUAAAUGAACG